UUCACCAAACACAUGGGUUUGUUUACAUACACAAUAUCAGAGAGAACAAGAUUCAAGUUUACUUAUAAAAAACGAUAGUUCUAUACAAUGGGGCCUAAUAAAGAGGAGGAAAUUCUAAAGAAAUUACAUGAAUUUAGUGAAGGUAUAAUUGGUAAUAAAAAGACAAAGAACCGAAAAUUAUUGAAACCAAAAACACAAGAAGAAAGAAAUGAAACACAGUCUGAAGAGAAUCACGCAAGACAAAGUAAGAAUAGAAAAAGAAAAGAAAGACGAAAAAGGAAACUGGAAGAAAAUAAUCCACUAGAGAACGAAGAUGAAUCAAGUUCUAAAAAACAUUCCGCUGUUGGAGAUAUUGUAGAAAUGUUUGGACUUAAUGAAAAACGAACAAGAAUUACAAAUGAUGAUAUUAGCGAAGAAGAUAAUAUUCAAACAUUUCAAAGUCGUGAAAUUGUGGAUAGAGAUGAACUUUCAUCUAAAACUAAAACAAAAAAAUCUAAGAAUAAACGGGAAGAAAAAGAAGUUUAUGUUUUUCGAGAUCCGCGCAAAACGAAGAAAAAGAAACCUGUGAAAGAAAUAGAAGAAGUUAUAGAACAACCAUCCACUUCAGAAAAUCCUAUUUUUGACAUGGAUUCAGCAAAAUUUGAAGUUCGUAAAUUAGGAAUAACUGGUUUUGAAGAAACGAAGCAAGAAAGGUCUAUGGUAGAUCUACUAGUUAGUCUGGGUGCUAAGCCACCCAAGAAAAAAUAUGUAAAUUAUAAAGAAUUUCAGAAACAAAGAAAAGAUGAAAUUAUUAAAGAUAAAGAAAAGAAAGAAAUGGAUCGAAAGCUUGGUUUUAGAGUUAACAAAGGUUCACACAAAAAAGAAAAACGAGAUGUAAACGAUAUAAGUAUUAGAGAUGGACAAGUUGGCCGAUAUGAUCAGGGAACGCAAUAUAUCCGUAAACGAGACCUUAAAACACGAUAAUAAAUAUUACGUUUCUAUUCUUUAAAAUAAGAGUUUUAAACCAUAUUUAAAAAUAAUGAAAUUAAAGAUGUUUGAUUGGUAGCUGAUGACAGGUACUUGUGUUUAUACUAUAAAAUAGACAGUGAUGACAGCUACUAUUUCCGGUUUCAAACCCUCUGCUAAAGACCCCUACGCGCAAGCCAAUUAUUGAAAUAAAA